UUUAAUUGAAGAGUUUGAUCAUGGCUCAGAUUGAACGCUGGCGGCAGGCCUAACACAUGCAAGUCGAGCGGUAACAGGAGAAAGCUUGCUUUCUUGCUGACGAGCGGCGGACGGGUGAGUAAUAUAUGGGGAUCUGCCCGAUAGAGGGGGAUAACUACUGGAAACGGUGGCUAAUACCGCAUGAUGUCUACGGACCAAAGCAGGGGGCUCUUCGGACCUUGCGCUAUCGGAUGAACCCAUAUGGGAUUAGCUAGUAGGUGGGGUAAUGGCUCACCUAGGCGACGAUCUCUAGCUGGUCUGAGAGGAUGAUCAGCCACACUGGGACUGAGACACGGCCCAGACUCCUACGGGAGGCAGCAGUGGGGAAUAUUGCACAAUGGGCGCAAGCCUGAUGCAGCCAUGCCGCGUGUAUGAAGAAGGCCUUAGGGUUGUAAAGUACUUUC
rnacentral:rRNA from 1 species